rnacentral:sRNA from 1 species
AGCAGCCGCGGUAAUUCCAGCUCCAAUAGCGUAUAUUAAAGUUGUUGCAGUUAAAAAGCUCGUAGUUGAAUUUCGGGGUCAGUAGGUCGGUCGUGCCACAGGUAUGCACUGGUCUCACUGAUUCCUCCUUCCUGAUGAACCGUAAUGCCAUUAAUUUGGUGUUGCGGGGAGACUGGACUGUUACUUUGAAAAAAUUAGAGUGUUUAAAGCAGGCUAACGCUUGAAUACAUUAGCAUGGAAUAAUGAAAUAGGACGUUCGAUCCUAUUUUGUUGGUUUCUAGGAUUGACGUAAUGAUUAAUAGGGAUAGUUGGGGGCAUUAGUAUUCAAUUGUCAGAGGUGAAAUUCUUGGAUUUAUUGAAGACUAACUACUGCGAAAGCAUUUGCCAAGGAUGUUUUCAUUAAUCAAGAACGAAAGUUAGGGGAUCGAAGACGAUCAGAUACCGUCGUAGUCUUAACCAUAAACUAUGCCGACUAGGGAUCGGAUGAUGUUAAUUUUUUAAUGACUCAUUCGGCGCCUUA